rnacentral:rRNA from 1 species
CACGUAGGGCGCAAGCGUUGUCCGGAAUUAUUGGGCGUAAAGAGCUCGUAGGCGGCUUGUCACGUCGAUUGUGAAAGCCCGAGGCUUAACCUCGGGUCUGCAGUCGAUACGGGCUAGCUAGAGUGUGGUAGGGGAGAUCGGAAUUCCUGGUGUAGCGGUGAAAUGCGCAGAUAUCAGGAGGAACACCGGUGGCGAAGGCGGAUCUCUUGGCCAUUACUGACGCUCAUGCGCGACAGCGUGGGGAUCAAACAGG